AUACGGAGGGUGCAAGCGUUAAUCGGAAUUACUGGGCGUAAAGCGCGCGUAGGCGGAUAUUUAAGUCUCAUGAGAAAGCCCUGGGCUCAACCUGGGAACUGCAUGGGAUACUGGGUAUCUAGAAUACAGUAGAGGGUAGUGGAAUUUCAGGUGUAGCGGUGAAAUGCGUAGAGAUCUGAAGGAACAUCAGUGGCGAAGGCGACUACCUGGACUGAUAUUGACGCUGAGGUGCGAAAGCGUGGGGAGCAAACGGGAUUAGAUACCCUAGUAGUCC
rnacentral:rRNA from 1 species